rfam:Streptomyces sp. WAC00263 NODE_7115_length_713_cov_5.995792, whole genome shotgun sequence.
ACACGAGAAGGGAGGUGGUUCGGCAGAUGUAUGAGAACCGGACGCGUGAGGUGGCUGCGGGCUAGCGGCCCGUCACCACAUCCAGUGCGGUGCCGGACCAGCGCGUGAACUGAGCGCGCAGCCGGCCCCAAUCCCAAGCAGUCACCCGACCCGCGAGCUCGCCGGUACGUCCGGCCGGCUCCUCCGCCGUGAGGCGAAGGAACCCGAGCUCGCGGGUCGUCUGCG